rnacentral:tRNA from 1 species
GGGGAAGUAGCUCAGUUGGCUAGAGUGCCUGACUGGCAGUCAGGAGGUCGAGGGUUCGAGUCCCUUCUUCUCCACCA